GGGGCGGCUAAUACUGCAGUCGAGCGAGCUUGCCUAGAUGAUUUUAGUGCUUGCACUAAAUGAAACUAGAUACAAGCGAGCGGCGGACGGGUGAGUAACACGUGGGUAACCUGCCCAAGAGACUGGGAUAACACCUGGAAACAGAUGCUAAUACCGGAUAACAACACUAGACGCAUGUCUAGAGUUUGAAAGAUGGUUCUGCUAUCACUCUUGGAUGGACCUGCGGUGCAUUAGCUAGUUGGUAAGGUAACGGCUUACCAAGGCAAUGAUGCAUAGCCGAGUUGAGAGACUGAUCGGCCACAUUGGGACUGAGACACGGCCCAAACUCCUACGGGAGGCAGCAGUAGGGAAUCUUCCACAAUGGACGAAAGUCUGAUGGAGCAACGCCGCGUGAGUGAAGAAGGGUUUCGGCUCGUAAAGCUCUGUUGGUAGUGAAGAAAGAUAGAGGUAGUAACUGGCCUUUAUUUGACGGUAAUUACUUAGAAAGUCACGGCUAACUACGUGCCAGCAGCCGCGGUAAUACGUAGGUGGCAAGCGUUGUCCGGAUUUAUUGGGCGUAAAGCGAGUGCAGGCGGUUCAAUAAGUCUGAUGUGAAAGCCUUCGGCUCAACCGGCGAAUUGCAUCAGAAACUGUUGAACUUGAGUGCAGAAGAGGAGAGUGGAACUCCAUGUGUAGCGGUGGAAUGCGUAGAUAUAUGGAAGAACACCAGUGGCGAAGGCGGCUCUCUGGUCUGCAACUGACGCUGAGGCU
rnacentral:rRNA from 1 species